GUGGGCGGCCCGGCUCUCCAGGGCCCCGGGCGCCUCCGGAGGUAGCAAAGCAAACUUGGGGCUGCGGUGGGGGUUGGGGUGGGGACGCCACCUCCAUCCCUCCGGGGAUGGCAGCCGCGGUCACCCCGCUAAGAUCGGGGCGGCGGCGGUGGGGACAGGCGGGUACCGCCCCCCCCCCCAGCCGCGCAGCGGCCGCUCUGUAACACGUCCCCAGGAGACUCGCAGGAGCAACACGUGAUGUGUCUACUUAUCAGGCCCACCGGUCCCCACCGCAUCAUGCCUGGGAGCCAAGCGCCCCGCCGGGCCGUAAGUACGCGCCCCGGGCUCCGGCUCGCGGUCCUCGCUCGGGUGGCAGCGGGAUGUCCGGGGCUCAGCCCGAGCGACCUUUUAAAGAACUUUUUUGGGGAUGGGGAGGGUGAGGGCUGCAGAGCGCGUUGUACUUGGGAAACUCCGCGCCUCCGGGGCGCAGGAUCCACAGCCCCACGCCGUGCGGCGUGCGCUCGGGGCGGCGGGGCCGGGGCGCCGGGAGGAGCGGGGCAGCCUCUCCCUCCGGCCGCGCGCCGCCGCUCCUCCUCCUCCUCCUCCUCCCCUUCCUCCGCUCCUUUCCCCUUCCCGAGCCACGGCUCUGCCAACCAGCUCCCGGCGCGAGCGGCCGCAGCGCCCCGCCAGCGGGACCUGAUGCGCAUCCAUAUUAGCCGUCCGAGCGCAGGAAUCCGGCCCGACCCGCGCCGCCGAGUUUAUUUUUAACCAGGACCGCGGGGCCUCGGAUGGUGCGCGCACCGCCGGCCAGAAACAUCUUCCCAGCGCUGCUCUCCAUCUUCCGCCCUCUCUCCCCCGACAUCCUCCCCCCCCAUGUGGGAGGGGAAACUUUUCUCCUACAUACUUUCGAGUCCCUCUCGGGCCGGGAAGCGCGGAGAUGACGGCGCCCGCCAGCCCGCCGUCGCCAGCACCGCGAGAUUUUAUAUUCACUGCCACACGCCUGGCACCUGGUGCUCUGUCAGUACUGGACAAAGGAAUGGAUGAGGCGAGGGUCAUUUUACCUGUGUGGCAGGUGGAAUUCAUUAACUCCAGGAAUGACUACAGUCACCAGUCACAGAGGAGCUGAAGGCCAUUGUGUGACAAGUUAGGAAGAGGUUUCUGCUCCCACCUGCUCGGCCACUGGCAGCCAUGCAGCCCUCAACAACGUCUCCGUGUCCUCAUUUCGAAAGAGAACUAGAUUGAAUUCAUUAGAUGAGAAGCAUUUCAGCAUACCUCUGACAUAGGUCCCUUGGCCUUUUUAAUUAUCUGUGGUGGUCUAUUAGAGAAGGAACUAGAUUCAUCUAGAAGCCUAAGUCCUAAAGCCGAGCCCAAUCUUGAUUAUGGUUAAUGAAAUACUUUAUGCCUUGUUUUUUCCAUCCCUGGAAUGGGCAGAGUGUAUUUCUUGUAACAUAGUCUCAGGAAGUGACAUAAUGAUGCCCACAGGCAGUAUUUUUUUUUCUCUUUUUAAUCAGCACAAGCAAACAGAAAAACCUUUGUGAGGAUAUAAGCUAUUGUCCUUUCACAUGAAGGAAAAGUACCAUAAGUCUAGGGGAAGUCUGAGCAUCCUGAAAGCUGCUUUAGGGCAGGCCUGCAGCUGCAAGACCAUCCAGUGGAGUGAGGCCUUCUUCCAGGCCUUCCUUAACCAUUCUCCUGUGGUUGUAUUUUCUUCUUUUUAAAAUGGAUGCCGGGAGCAUGUUGUGGUUAUUUACCGGUGGUGCCUCUUCUGUCACUAUUCUUGGUUUCUGACAGCAGUUGUUGCUGCUUAACUUCCCAAGAUGGGGUGGGAGAGGCAGCUGUCUGUCUCUGGUCUGAUGUCUGCAUGUUAUCUGAAGGGAGAGACGUGGCCAGAUGUGGUGGUGCCCGUCUGUAGUUCCAGCACUCUGGAACCCUGAGGCAGGAAGAUUGCAAGUUCCAGCACAGCCUGGGCAACUUAGUGAGACCUUGUCUCAGAAUUUUAAAAAUGUCGGGCGUGGUGACACACGCCUAUAAUCCUUGCACUGUGGGAAGGCUGAAGCAGGAGGGUAGCUGUGAGUUGGGGGCUAGCCUGGGCCACAUAGCGAGACCCUGUCUCAGUUCUACCUUUUUCUAGGAGCAGAUAUUUUAUUUACACUGUAGGCAGUGUCUGCAUAUUUCCCAGAAGCAUUUAAUGUCUUUGUUUCAAGCUUUUAUAGCUUUUUCAAGUUGCUGCAGGGAACCUGCAAUAGUUUCUUAGCAAAGGAAAGUGGACAGUAAGUACCUGCACGCUGAGCCCAGGUACAAGCAGGGCUUGGGAAGCCAGUACCCCUAAAAGAUCAUUUUGUUGUACAAAUGCUGAAGCUGGAUUUUUUACAACACAUGCCAAAAGAAUGACUUUCAUGAAAUGGACCUAGGCAAAGAGGUGGCAGGUGGCUAGGGUCAGCUGGCCUCAGUUAAAGUGCUGUGGCCAUCUGUAUAGUAAGACCGGUACCUCCUCCGCCUGGUACUCAGCUGGGUGAGGCGCCACGGCCCAGAUCACAGGCCCUGGUUACUCCUGAGGGACACAGACCCCAAAGCUUUCUCCGGGUGGAAGCCAUCCAAACAUAACUUCAGGAAUUCCAAAGCAAUGUUAUUGUUCCCAGUCUAGCAGAAGUCUGAGUUGAAAUGGGUCCCCAUUAGUGCCUUCCUUUUAUCUUUUAUUGAUGACUGUAAUCACAGUUUUUUAAAAGAUAGAAGUGAGCUAUAAGUGAUACCUUGAGGAUUUUUGUUUAUUGUGAAGUAUAGUUUAAUUGUCUGGGGGUUUUCUCCUUGACUAGCUUGCUUCGGGUCCCACCGAGUAGGUAAUAUGGAGAAAAUGAGAGAUGUCUGAGCUCUUUGUGAGAGAUGUUAUUUGAGGGGAAGGGGGUGUGAAUAUAUAAUAAACUUAGAAAUAACAGGUAAAGUUUUCUCUGAACCUACCUACCUUCUUGAACAGGAGAAAGGGUGAUUUUUAGGUGUACUAGUGCACAAAAUAAUGAAUAAGAGUCUCUAAAGACAUUUCAAUCUAUAAACAGCAUAAAUAUCUUUAUUCAAAAUGGAUUGAGUUCUGAAGCCUGAUGCCUUCAAGAGUACAGUAUUAACAAGCGGCUCUUAAAAGCCUGUCGUUAAUCAAGCAUGUGUUACCCUCAGAGUUUUAUUAAAAAGGUAUGCAUCGGUUCACACCCUCCUUACAGGAGGGUCAGUGUAACAGAAACUUGACAGACAUGUUGAGGAGGGGAAAGAGAUCAAACCACCUUGGCACCUGGCCUCUUCCUUUCACUUCCUUACCCAGCUCUGCCCCUUUGAGAUGUUCUUCCAGAAGGCAGAGGAAGCUGCUGCACUUGGGGUCAUCACCCUGGAUCUGGCGGCGGGAGUGGCCCAGCACUGGGAGUUCCUUCCCCAAAGCCUGGAGCUGACUUGCCACUUUUAGCUGUUGUCAGGAGGUGGGCAGUACUGUUCCAACUUUCCCAGAAGGCCAGGGAAGAGCAGGCAGGAGCAGGAAGGGACUGAAACUGCAGUGGCUUCCUUGAUGCUUCUCUCUGCCCCUGGGGUGUGGGGAGCGAGGGGAUAGGAAGUUGGAAUCCGGAGGAGAGGGUUGGGGGUACAGACCCGGCUGUGGUUAGUAAGCUGUCAUUUGACUGUUGGUUUCUUCUCUUCAGAUGUUGGCAUUCGGGGAAUGCAUUUGAUAAAUUUAUAGUAUGCCAUCACGAGUAUGAUGAUAUGCAUGUGUAUUUUGGGGUGCCAGAUACACAGGCAAAUAAAACUUAAGCCAAAUGCUAAGGUAGUUACUGUUUUACUGAUGAACUGAAACUAGCCCAACUGGCCCAGUUACUUGAGUCGUUGGCUGAAAGUACUCUAGUUAGUGAUUCUUGUUUGGUAUCCCUAAAAACAAAAAGCACUGGAAAGGUGCAGCACUGGAUGAAGGAAGGCAAGGCUGUGGCUGAGCUUCACUCUGUGGUGCUGGGAGGAGAGGUUGGAAGGAUGGGAGUCACUUUGCCUUGGCCUGACUCCUCCUCUUCCUCUCUGGGCCUGGAGCUGCAGCCUCAGCCUUCAGAGUGGCUGCCUGAUGCUAGGCCCACGGCUGCAUUUCAGUGUCUCUCGCCAGUUUCCAGUGUCAUCAGUCAUCACUUCCAGAGUUCCUUUUCCUUUUCAGGGGUACCCAGUCUGACCGUUCAGCUCCUUUUCAGUAGCCCUUCUCACUCACUUAUGCCCAGUCAGGAAGAUUAAUAAUGUGACGUGAUUUACUGUCACUGAAAAAGAAGCAUUAGUUAGCUAGACUUUUACACCUCAGUCAGAUGGUAUUAGACACCCUCUGUGCACUUUAACUCAAGGAUGUUAAAGACCUAAAUCUUUGAGGUAAGGAAAAAAAGGAAGAAAAAGGACAGGCACUUUUCCAAUUGAAGCUGCAUGUUGGUCCAUGUUAAUUAGGCAUUUGUCCCUUGGUCUUGAUGUGAUAGAAAAUGCCAGUUACUGUGGUAUUUAACUGACAUCAAACUCCUGUCCAAAUAAUUCAGUUGGGCCCAGCCUUCUCUCUUAAUUGGUGGGAAGGAAAACUUCGGCACACACCCAAAAAAAAGAGGAAACUGUUACUUUCGUUGGACAUUUAAAAAUUUUAUUCUGAAGGGGCUGAAGAAUACGUGUUUAUUUUUUAAAUUAACUGCCCAUUUGAGCUUUUAAAAAACAGUAACAACCAGAAUCUCCUCUAAAACUCGAGCCCCUCGAAAUGAUUAGCUUUGGUUAAGUCUUCAGUAAAUGACAGUUUAGUAAUUAUUGUUAGCCAAAGUCAAAAAGUAGUUAUUGCUGUCCCCUAUAAGUUAUGUAUGUAUUCUGGAAACUGACAAUGUUCUAGGCUACACGCAGAUUUUUAAAAUCAAUACUGGAAAUUCAUAAAUAGGUUAAGGUACCAAGCAAUUUAAAAACCAAUAUUUUGUGGCAUAGUAAAAGAAGAAUGGCAUGAUGGUUUGGUAGGAGUAAUUAGAGGAAACAUGCCUUUUUUUUAAAAAGCAACUUUUUCCUAGGGGUUAGAGAAGGUAAUCCCUCAGUGACAAGAGUAUAGUUUUCCUUAGUCAUAAGGUAUCUAAAACAAUUUCAAAAAUAAUCAAAAGAUUUUUUUUUUUCUAACCAGGGCUAUACCCUUAUUCCACUUUCAACCUCACUCUGUGUAUGGUUUCUAGCCAAAGGUUCACACAUUGGUGAGUGCUUCAUUUUUAGCUCUGAACUGCCUUUUGGUCCCUGAAUGAAUUUAAUAUGUUAACACUCCUGCACAGCCCAGAAUUGCUUGGCUGCCCCUUGCCCUGCCUGCCUGGUACUGGCUGAAAAGGUACCAUUGUUUGUUCUGCAAACACUGGGUGAUGUUUGUUUCCAAGGUGACCGAUUCUAUUGCUGCGCUUUAGGCAAGGGUGGGUAAGGAAGAGAGAAAGUUGCCUUUAAAACACCUGAGAGCAUCCCAUUCUGAAUAAUCUGUGUCUGUGUAUAUGUGUAAGUUGAAAUUUUAUUUUAAUUGAGGUUAUUGGAGAAAAAGGGGUAGUGUGGCAAUGGAAGAAAAAAAGAGCUCUGAUUCUUAAUUCAAUACAGAGUGAAUGUAAUGAGAAGAAGUAUUAGAAUUACUAGAAGUUAGCUGUUGACAUUUGGAAAACUAAAGAGGGGAAGAAAAAUAUUUUAGAUAACUGAAAUGUUUUCUUUUUCCUUGAAAUAGUUCUUGGCUAUAAUAUAUAUGGCUGUUGAGGUAAAUGUUUCAGAGUAUAAAUAAAAUCAGUUAUGAUAAGGUAGAUGGGCCUUCAAAGAGGUGUGAGAGAACAUGAAAUACAGAUGUUUCAGUUUUAAAUUCUGUACAAAACAAUGUUUUUAGAAGAAUCUGUGGAGCCAUUGAGGUUUAUUUGUGUAAAAGAAAAAAAUUCCAAAGAGAUGACAAAAUAGAUGAAGAGCAUCUUUUCAUGGGCAAUAUGUAUUAUUAAACUGGAAAUUUGGAUUUUCACAUCUUUCUCACAAGAGAUUUUAGAUUUCAAAAUAGAAAAAUAAAAUUACUCUUGUUCUAACCCCCGCUCCCUUUAUAGUACAUGGAUGCCGUUAGCAGAACUUUGCCUUUUCACUCCUAUCGGGUUUAGUACAGUUCAUGCACAGGUUUCAGUAAACAUUAACUACUUUUAUCAGGGCUUGCAGUGUGCUGAAUGGUUAGCAAAGAGUGUGCUGUAAGAGACAGAUGAAAUUGAGAGAGUCCAAGGUCACAUGGAUUUUUUUUUUUUUUAAUUAUGG
ensembl:lncRNA